rnacentral:rRNA from 1 species
GACGAACGCUGGCGGCGUGCUUAACACAUGCAAGUCGAGCGGUAAGGCCCUUUCGGGGGUACACGAGCGGCGAACGGGUGAGUAACACGUGGGUGACCUGCCCUCAGCUCUGGGAUAAGCCUGGGAAACUGGGUCUAAUACUGGAUAUGACUCCACGGUGCAUGUCGUGGGGUGGAAAGCCUUGUGCGGCUGAGGAUGGGCCCGUGGCCUAUCAGCUUGUUGGUGGGGGAUGGCCUACCAAGGCGACGACGGGUAGCCGGCCUGAGAGGGCGACCGGCCACACUGGGACUGAGACACGGCCCAGACUCCUACGGGAGGCAGCAGUGGGGAAUCUUGCGCAAUGGGCGAAAGCCUGACGCAGCGACGCCGCGUGAGGGAUGACGGCCUGU